GACGAACGCUGGCGGAGUGCUUAACACAUGCAAGUCGAACGGAAAGGCCCUGCUUUUGUGGGGUGCUCGAGUGGCGAACGGGUGAGUAACACGUGAGUAACCUGCCCUUGACUUUGGGAUAACUUCAGGAAACUGGGGCUAAUACCGGAUAGGAGCUCCUGCUGCAUGGUGGGGGUUGGAAAGUUUCGGCGGUUGGGGCUGGACUCGCGGCUUAUCAGCUUGUUGGUGGGGUAGUGGCUUACCAAGGCUUUGACGGGUAGCCGGCCUGGGAGGGUGACCGGCCACAAUGGGACUGCGAGACGGCCCAGACUCCUACGGGAGGCAGCAGUCGAGAAUAUUGCACAAUGGGCGGAAGCCUGAUGCAGCAACGCCGCGUGCGGGAUGACGGCCUUCGGGUUGUAAACCGCUGUCGCCUGUGACGAAGCGUGAGUGACGGUAAUGGGUAAAGAAGCACCGGCUAACUACGUG
rnacentral:rRNA from 1 species